UAAUAGUGUAUAUUAAAGUUGUUGCAGUUAAAAAGCUCGUAGUUGAAUGUUGGUGUCGAACGAGCGGUCAGCUUCGGCUGUACUGCUCUCUCGACUCCUUCCUUCUGUGGACUACGUCGCACUUUACUGUGUGGCGCUAGGACGCAGAUCGUCUACUGUGAAAAAAUUAGAGUGUUCAAAGCAGGCCGUACGCUUGAAUACAUUAGCAUGGAAUAAUGGAAUAGGACGUCGGGCCUAUUUUGUUGGUUCUAGGACCGUCGUAAUGAUUAAUAGGGACAGUUGGGGCCGUUUAUAUUCCGUAGUCAGAGGUGAAAUUCUUGGAUUUACGGAAGAUAAACUACUGCGAAAGCAUUCGGCAAGGAUGUUUUCGUUAA
rnacentral:rRNA from 1 species